rnacentral:lncRNA from 1 species
GGUUUGAACCUAUGAGGUUACAUUCAAAAAAGUUACUAUCUAAUCAAGUGGCUAAUCAAUGAUUGAGAAUCGUCAAAGGAUAUAAUCAUCAAUUUGCUUGAUGGUUAACCUUAAGCAAAAAUUAUAAUGAAUUAAUUCAUUAAGAGUUAGUAAAUUAUUAGAAGAUUGAUAAGCAAUUAGAUUGCUAAUUAGCUCAAUUUGAUUGAGCAAUAUGGUUUGGAUCA